CCAAAACCAAGAGCGUGCUGUAUACACUGUACCUUAGCCAGCUUGGCAAGAAAUCAUAUUAAAAAAUAAAAUUAAAAAAAUGAAUAAACAUUAAAAAACGUAAAGAAAGGAAACCGUCAAAGACAAACGAAACCAAAACAAAACAAACAUGGGGAUGCUGAUGGUCGGGGCUUGUCUCGCCCGAGGCCACAGAGCCUCCAAAUUGGCUGCCUCCAAAUUGUCAUCAAUGGAUCCGGAUACAUCAGCCUCUUAUCCAAUUUACCGGUAAACGCGAGGCGAUGCUCUUAGCAAGCGCGGGCCCCAGCACAGGGGCUGCUUAGUUUAAAAUGGAAUCUUCAUUUAGGAAGUCAGUUCCAUUUAGAGGCAAGAACGCUUUACCCAGUUUGCCGAGAGUCGAAACCAGCACGCCUGCGUGGACAAACCACUGUGACCCAUUUCCUGGCCUCAUUUCUUCGCUGUCACUCACCUGUUGCGAGACCGAUGCAUAUAUUUCCACAGCGUGCCACACCUUCCAAACCUCUUGCACAGCUGUGGGUCCCACAACAACCCUGGGAGGCAGGCAGGGGAGGUGCUGUUGUAAUGUUGUAGACGAGCACAUUGGAUCAGAGAGGUCGCCCGGCUUACCAAACGUCACACCGCCCGGGAGGUACAACGUGCCAAGGAAACCAUCUUUCUGUACCGGGAAAGGAUGAACCUUGACGUCUACAUAUUUCGUAGCGAGCCAGCGAGCAUUGGAGCCACUGAGGGUCUAAGAGUUCGGUUGGUUGGUUUUGAAUCAUCACGUCUGGAAGGAUUUCAAGCUGGAGAGACGCGCCGUGCUGACGGAUGAAGAGGUGGGGGCACAGCCCAUUCUGGGGGACGGGGGUCUGGCCAUGCCGAGGAGGGUGUGGCAACCACGUCCACCGAUCCGACAAUCUGGGUUCUAAGAGCGGAGGAGCAACCCCGGCACCAGCAGCAGGAAGGCUGACGAGAAAAGUAACUAGAAAACACCGUAAGUGUCCCAGGAGAAGAUGGCCGGACGCACGUCCCUGUUCUAAAAUACUGUGCAGCUCAUGGGGCGCCUGGGUGGCGCAGUCGGUUGAGCGUCCGACUUCAGCCAGGUCACGAUCUCGCGGUCCGGGAGUUCGAGCCCCGCGUCAGGCUCUGGGCUGAUGGCUCGGAGCCUGGAGCCUGUUUCCGAUUCUGUGUCUCCCUCUCUCUCUGCCCCUCCCCCGUUUAUGCUCUGUCUCUCUCUGUCCCAAAAAUAAAUAAACGUUGAAAAAAAAAUUUUUUUAAAAA
rnacentral:lncRNA from 1 species